GACGAACGCUGGCGGCGUGCUUAACACAUGCAAGUCGAACGGAAAGGCCCUGCUUUUGUGGGGUGCUCGAGUGGCGAACGGGUGAGUAACACGUGAGUAACCUGCCCUUGACUUUGGGAUAACUUCAGGAAACGGGGGCUAAUACCGGAUAGGAGCUCCUGCUGCAUGGUGGGGGUUGGAGAGUUUCGGCGGUUGGGGAUGGACUCGCGGCGGAUGAGCUUGUGGGUGGGGUAGUGGCUUACCACGGCUUUGACGGGUAGCCCGCCUGAGCGGGUGACGGGCCACAUUGGGACUGAGAUACGGCCCAGACUCCUACGGGAGGCAGCAGUGGGGAAUAUUGCACAAUGGGCGGAAGCCUGAUGCAGCAGCGCCGCGUGCGGGAUGACGGCCUUCGGGUUGUAAACCGCUUUCGCCUGUGACGAAGCGUGAGUGACGGUAAUGGGUAAAGAAGCACCGGCUAACUACGUG
rnacentral:rRNA from 1 species